GUAUUAUAUAAAAGGCAACUUUUCUUUAGCACUUCCCUGGACAAGGGCAGAAAAGGCCCAUGGGUCUUAUAAUUUUGAUGAUUUGGGCAUUGCUUUUAGUUAAAGAAGGUUAUAGUGAUAUUUU